rnacentral:lncRNA from 1 species
UGAAUUUCAGUUUCUGUCAUUAAUAAAUUGGAAAUAGUAGCACUUCCCUUUCUACUUCACACACUUGUAAAGACCAAAUUAGAUUAUGCACAUUCCACAAAGAGCUAAAUAAAUGUAGGGUGCUACUACCAUUACUUUAAUCUGAAGUAUGUUAUAUGUUAGUUUGAGAACUGAGCAUUAUAAUACCUAAUAAAAUAUCAUAUUUGCCUACUAGAAUUUCCAGUUGUGGCAAAAAACCAUUUUCAGCAUACAGUUUCAUGGACCAGGGAAUCCAAGUGCAACAUUCAGCAGAAUCUAUAAGAUAAUAAUAAACAAACUCUAUCUGUAAGGAACUGAAGAUUCUAAACUAACAAGGGGCUUAAAUGAUACAAGUAGGCCUUCGAAGAUUGGUAUGGAAGCUCUGUGUGUCUUAGGCUUCUUUCUGCUCUACCAAUCUGAGAGUGUGUCUUCCAUCUUCAAAGUCUCCCAAAUGGCACCUUCAGACAUCAUGUCACCUUUCAUUUUUCUUCCCCAAAUCAGUCCUUCCGUUCUCACCUUCUUAAUGGUGUAUCUUCCCAAAGCAUUCCUCAAUAAAUCUUCUGCUUGUAACCCUCCAUCUCAGAGGCUAUUUCCAGGAAGCCCAAGCUAAAUUAAUUCACAAGAGAUUCUCAGGUGUCUUCAGCCACCAGGGCUGGGAAGCAGAACCAGAGCAACAAGACCAGCUGUUCUCCAUCCCUCAUUACUCCUCUGCCUCUCUGCGUGAGUGCUUCCUGACAAGUCCAGCUUUCAUGGCCUCUGGCAGCCCUGAUGGCAUCUUAAGACUUCUUUUCCUUUUUUUUUUUUUUUUUUUUUUUUUUUUUUUUUUUUGAGAUGGAGUUUUGCUCUGUUGCCCAGGCUGGAGUGCACUGGCAUGAUCUUGGCUCACUACAACCUCCCCCUCCCGGGUUCAAGCAAUUCUGCCUCGGCCUCCCGAGUAGCUGGGACUACAGGUGCAUGCCACCACACCUGGCUAAUUUUUGUAUUUUUAAUAGAGACGGGGUUUCACCAUGUUGGUCAGGCUGGCCUCGAACUCCUGACCUCAAGUGAUCCACCCUCCUCAGCUUCCCAAAGUGCUGGGAUUACAGGUGUGAGCCACCGUGCCUGGCCAAGGCUUUUCAAUGUUAUCUUCCAUUGCUAAUUCCCUCCUUCUCUGGGGAUUUCUGAACUGGUUUCUGCAAGAGAGUGUCUCAUGGGCUUAGUUCAUCUUUUCAAGUCAAGCCACCUUGCAGGUUGCCAGUGAUCCUGUAGAUUGGGUGACUUUGGGUCAGCAGUUUAUCUCUGGGCCAAUCAGCAGUAGCUGUGGGGUAUAAGGAGUCGGGAAGAGGUUCGUGGCCCUAGGGUUUCCCCUUCAGCAGGGUGAGUGGUGGAGGAGGUGUUGCAAGGACUCUAGCAUAUUAUAGGUGCUUUCAGAGCACCCAGGUGAAAGGAAAGGAAGUAAUGAGAACACCAUGUCAGGCACAGCAGGGAGGCAGGGCUGCUGCCCUAUGUUUUUUGUUUUGUUUUGUUAUUUAUUUAUUUAAGACAGAGUUUUGCUCUGUCCCCCAGGCUGGGGUGUGGUGGCAUGAUCUCGGCUCACUGCAAUCUCUGCCUCCUGGGUUCAAGUGAUCCUCCUGCCUCAGCCUCCUCAGUAGCUAGGACUACAGGCGUGCACCACCACUCCCACCUAAUUUUUAUUUUUAUUUUUAGUAGAGGCAGAGUUUCACCAUGUUGGCCAAGCUGGUCUUGAACUCCUGGUCUCAAGUGACCCGCCCGCCUUGUCCUUCCAAAGUGUUGGGAUUACAGGUGUGAACCACCGCACCUGGCCCCUAUGUUCUUAAUUAAGGAGAAAGCAGGCUUGAUUUGGAAUGAAGCGUUCAAGGAGGCGGAGGAAGGAGUGGGUAUGUGCGGAAUGAAACCACGUGGGGCGGCCCUGCCCAGUUUAAAACGAACUUGAACUCCAGGUAUUACAGAAGAAGGACCAUGGGAAGGAAGGAGCAGAGAGAUCAGAACCGACCACAGUGGAGAGGCGAGAGCCAGUCCGCAGCCAGAUGUCACCAGACUUGCUUUAGUUAGGUAUUGUUCUCUACUGCAUACGGUGGGCUCUGCAGGGAGUUGCUGCUUGCCCGCGGGGCAGGUGCUCCCAGACCACGUGCCAGGGCUUAGUCACGGCAGCUUUUGUGCUCCGCCGCAUUGAGUGUUUUCUUCCAUCUCCCCGUGCCCACUUACAACAGUCACCGGGUCUUAAACGUCCCCACAGCCUCGUUUCCUCCUUGUUCUGUCUGAGGGAGGCAUGAUACAUCCUCACACCCCCUCACAGUUCUGUUUUUGCAUGGCUUGGAUCUUCCCACGCCCCGUCUGAGGUGGGCCCAGAGGCGUUGUCUGCUAUUUAGGAUACUGUCCAAAACAGUAGCCACUAACCUCAUGUGGCAAUUUAAAUUUAAUGACACUGGCCAGGAGCGGUGGCUCAUGCCUGUAAUCCCAGCACUUUGGGAGGCCGAGGUGGGUGGAUCGCUUGAGGUCAGGAGUUUGAGACCAGCCUGGCCAACAUGGUGAAACCCCGUCUCUACUAAAAAUACAAAAAUUAACGAGGCGUGGUGGCCUACACCUGUAGUCCCAGCUACUCAGGAGACUUGCAAGGCUGAGUCAGGAAAGUCGCUUGAACCCGGCAGGCGGAGGUUGCAGU